UACGAAGGGGGCUAGCGUUGCUCGGAAUCACUGGGCGUAAAGGGUGCGUAGGCGGCGCGGUAAGUCGGGUGUGAAAUCUCGGAGCUUAACUCCGAAACUGCAUUCGAUACUGCCGUGCUUGAGGACUGGAGAGGAGACUGGAAUUUACGGUGUAGCGGUGAAAUGCGUAGAUAUCGUAAGGAAGACCAGUGGCGAAGGCGGGUCUCUGGACAGUUCCUGACGCUGAGGCACGAAAGCGUGGGGAGCAAACAGG
rnacentral:rRNA from 1 species